rnacentral:rRNA from 1 species
ACGUUAGUCUAUUGAUGGUCCAAGUUAUUGGAUACUGCGGUAAUUCUGGAGCUAUACAUGCGUAAAAACCCGACUUCGCGGAGAGGGUCUUAUUUUUUAUAUACAGAACCAAUGCUUUCUAGCUUUUGUAUGAUUCCUAAUAAACGAACGAAUCGCAUUGCUUGCGCUGGCGCUAAAUCUAUCGAUUUUCUGAGCUCUCAACUUUCUACGGUAGGGUAUUGACCUACCCUGGCUUUUUUUGAUAACAAAGAAUUAAUGUUCGAUUCCUUACAGGGAGCCCGACAAAAAGCUACCACCUCUAACGAAGGCAGCAGGCGCGCACAUUACCCACUCCUGACACAAGGAGGUAGUGACAAAAAAUAACAAAAUAUGACCGCCUCCUUCCUACUAUUGUAAUGA